UUUGGGGAGGAACAGCACAGGAGUACACUGAUCUCUAUACAGUGCGUUGAAGAUCGAUAUGUCCCAUUGCUGGUGGCACCAACAUUGAUCUCUUGGGUAAGGUGGUGACCACCAGGUUUCUCCACUGGAAGGUCUUGGCCACUCCCAGGUUUGCCCAGAGCCAAGUGUUCAGGUGACCCAGGACCUGCAGGAGAAAUCACCAAGAAGAGGUUAUGUGCACAGAAAAUUCACACUGGAUGGGGCAAGCCAAGAUGAGUGACUAUCUGCUGUCUCCAGUGGUUCCCCAUGCUACACCUGAUUCUGUUUUCAGAGCCAUCUUCUUGGGAUAUUGGUUCUUCGCCUGAUUAUGUCUCAUCUGACAGGUCUCACUCCUUCUAAGCAACACCCUGCAGAGUGAUGCAUCUCUACCCAGAAAAGGUCCACUGAAGGAACCAGACGUUUCCACAGGAGAAAGGCACAGCAUGGAAUUACUAUACAGAGAAAUACAUGAGCCAUCAAGAAAUAAAGUGAGAAUGUGGAUGAGGCCCAUGAAGAAGCCAAUAUGCCAAACAGUGAGCACACCAGGUGUGUAUGUGUGACCAGAAAUGAAAACAGUUUCUGUGAAAGCACAUUUUAAAAUAGACAAGAACAGUUAGAAUAGUGUUCGCCACAAGUAAAUGACUUUUACUGAAACUUAUAACCUGAGAAAUAGGUAGAACAGGUGUUGUUCCCAGUUCAGAAAGGAGCAAAGAGUUGCCCAGGUAAUAAUCACACCAUGAGACAAGGUCUGGCUCUGUCACCCCGGCUGGAGUACAGUGGCACUAUCACAGCCACUGCAGCCUCAACCUCCUUGGCCCAAGCAAUCCUCCCACUUCAGCCUCCUGAGUAGCUGGGAUUACAGGCAUAUGAUACCAUGCCUGGCUAAUUUUUGUAUUUUUAGUAGAGAUGAGGUUUCACUAUGUUGGCCAUGCUGGUCUGAAACUCCUGGGCUCAAGCAGUCCUCCCACUUCUGCCUCCUAAAGUGCUGAAAUUACAGGUAUGAGUCACUACUCCCAGCUGACUUCUAGUGAGGAUCUUUUUUCUUUAGUGAAAUAAAUGCCUUUCAGGAAUUCUUCACAUUCAUGAAAGCCAAAUGCAAUGAGGAAGCCUUAAGUAGCUCCUUGAGUUAAAAAAAAUAUGCUAGAAUAGAAGAUGUUUGUACAAACUGGGAAAUGUGAAUGGACUAUAUAUUGGAUGGCAUUCUUGAGUUAGUGUCAAUGGUCUUCAUGCGAUGAUAGUGUUGUGACUAGGGAGGGGCCAUCCUUGUUCUUUGGAGAUGCUGGCUGGGGGACUUAGGCCAUAAGGAAAGAAGUGACCACAGAGGAAAGGAGGGUGAAGGCAUCAGGGGACCUAGCUGGUCUGCUCAGGACUCCACUCAGCCAGAUGGAAAACGCAGUUCUGAAUAUCUAUUGCUGUGUAAUAGAGCAGCCCAGAACAUGGAGCAUAAAAAACAACAAUUGCUUCUUUGCUCCAAGUCUGCGCUUCGGGCAGGUGCUCCUCUCUGGUCCUGUGGCAUCACCUCUGGUGCUCCAGUGCUGGGGGCUGAAAGGAGUCACUUGCUGUUGCCUGGGUUCCUGGGUUCUCUCCACAUGUCCUCUCCAUGUGGUGAGCUUGGGCUUCCUCACAGCAUGGUUGUCUCGGAGUAGUUGGCCUUCUUACGUGACAGCUGGCUUCCCCUAAAGUGCAAAAAUAGAAGCUGCCAGAACUUCACAGGGCUUAGGCCUAGAACCAGUGCUAUGUCACUUCUGCCACAGUCACAGAGCCAAGCCAGCUUCAAAGGAAUUAGAUACAAGGAGAGGCUUAUGGGGGUUGGGGGUCACUAAACAGACAGCUUACCACACACAGGGAUAAGGAGCUAUGGUUAGUGGAAAUUUACCGUAGGCCAACAUCCACAGGAACAGGGUACUUGAUAAGACCGUGUCUCAAAAUUAUUUGCUCAUUGGCCACAUCAAGGCACCUCAGUUGAAUGCAGUGAUCAAACCGUUCAAUGAAAAAUGGGGAAAACAAGAGUUUCCUUAUUACAGGACUACUCCAAGAAUUUAAGAAGCUCGCACACGUUGGGGGUAUAAUAAAGAAAGGACUCCCUAUUCAAUAAAUAAUGCUGGGAUAACUGGCUGGCCACAUGCAGAAGAUGGAAACUGGAUUCCUUCCUUACACCAUAAACAAAAAUCAACCCAAGAUGGAUUAAAGAGUUAAAUGUAAAACCUAAAUCUAUAAACACUCUGGAAGAUAUCCUAGAAAAUAUCAUUGUGAACAUAGGCCCCGGCAAAAGUUUCCUGAUGAAAAUGCCAAAAGCAAUUGCAACAAAAACAAAAAUUGACAACUGGGACUUAAUUAAACUAAAGAGCGUCUGCGCAGCCAAAAGAACUAUCAACAGAGUAAACAGACAACCUACAGAAUGGGAGACAGUAUUUGCAAACUAUGCAUCCAACAAAAGCCUAUUAUCCAUCAUCUACAGGGAACUUAUUAACAAUCAGAAAACAAAGAACCCCAUCAAAAACUGGGCAAAGGACAUGAACGCUUUUCAAAAGAAGACGUACAUGCAGACAACGAGCAUACGAAAAAAUGCUCUACACCACUAAUCAUUAGAGAAAUUCAAAUCAAAACCACAAUGUGAUACCAUCUCACACCAGUCAAAAUGACGAUUAUUAGAAAGUCAAAAAAUGGAGAGGUUGUGGAGAAAAGGGAACACUUAGACACUGCUGGUGGAAAUGUAAGUUAGUUCAGCCAUGUGGAAAGCAGUGUGGCAAUUUCUCAAAGAACUUAGAACUGCCAUUCGACCCAGCAAUCCCAUUAUUGGAUAUAUACCCAAAGGAAUAUAAAUCAUUCUACCAUAAAGACACAUGAACACGUAUGUUCAUCGCAGCACUAUUCACAAUAGCAAAGAACGAGAUCAUGUCCUUUGAAGCAACAUGGAUGGAGCUGGAAGCCAUUAUCCCAAAAAAACAAAUGCAGGAACAGAAAACCAAAUACUGCACGUUCUCACUUAUAAGUGGGAGCUAAAUGUUGAGUACACAUGGUAACAAAGAAGGGAACAACAGAUACUAGGGCCUACGUGAUGGUGGAGGGUGGGAGGAGGGAGAGGAUUGAAAAACUACCUAUUGGGUACUACGCUUAUUACCUCGGUGACAAAAUAAUCUGUACGCCAAACCCCCAGGACAUGCAAUUUACCCAUGUAUUUUAAUUCUAAAAUAAAAUAUUUUAAUUCUAAAUUCUAAAAUAAAAUAUCUUAAUUCUAAAACAAAAGUUAAAAAAGUAAAGCACUUGCCAAACCUAUCUGACUGCAGUGCACACUUUUUAAAAAAGACUAUCAUUUGAGACUUUAGGAUUAUAAAGACUCCAGUUUGGAUUCUUAUCCUCCAAGACAUGGAGGAUGAGUUUCUCAUUAGAUCAUAGUCCUGGGUUUUCUACUGUCUGUCCUCAGUUUCAGCACGUUCCUGCUCACUGAUUCUCAUGAUGUAUGUUGAUGGUCUCUCUUCUCUCUCAUCCUCCCAAGGGGAUUUGCUGAGGUUCAAUGUUAUUACAAGGUGAGAAUGUGAACCUCAGGAGCCUAAUAUGAGCUCCCUUGGUAUGAGAAAAUUCUCACUGCUCACAGGUAAAAAUAAUAUCCUGGUCACACACUUCCCUUGGCACACCCAUGCCCAGAAUGACUGAACCCCCAAUUGUGCACGAGCUGAACUCUUGCUGGACCUUCGAGACUCAGCCCAAAGCUUACUUCCUUAUCUAAGCCUAACAGGAACCACUCAUAGGCAGUCUAUCCGAUCCAAGUGCGUUUCCAUGGAAUAGUAAAAACAAUGCUGUCAGCUAAUAACUGUUGGGUACUUACUAUGUAUAUGACACUGUGUUGAGUACUGCGAUUUGAAUGUAGAUUUGUCCAACUCCUGAACCAGACUGUUUAACCAUUGCAUGGUCUGGCCUCUCCUGAGCUGUUCCCGUCAAUAUUUAGCACAUAGCAUUGUGUGACAAAGACUGCCAGUUUUCCACCAAAAUUCACAUUGCUCUUCUUCCUGAGAAUAUGGCUGCCCAGGUGGUGAAUGUUUCCUGACCUACCCCAUGGCUAGGUGUGGCCAAGUAGCCAAGCAUUCACCCAUGGAACUGGAGAAAUUCCCAUGGCCCUCCUUAAAAGGACAUCUCUUUCCUAGGACUUCCACACUCUCUCCCUUCUCCAGUGCCUGGAACUUGCUUGGCCAUGCAGACCAGGAUGGUCCCCUGGGGUUGGUGGAGGGAUGAAAUGGAAUGAAAUGGAAGGGCUUCAGAACGUGCGGAGCAGAGCCACCUGCCAAGCUGGAGGCUGUUAACGAAUGAGAGCAAAAUGAACUUCCCUGUUCUCUGAGCCACUGUAUUUUGGGGCCUGUUUGUCACAGCAGCUGAGACAUUGCCCUAAACAAUUCACCUUGAGAUGAUCUGGUUUUUCCCUACAAGACAAUGAAGUCCUUGAAGUCAGGGAUCAUGCCAAACUCAUUUCUCCAUGUAUCCAGCCUGGCAUGGUGGCUGGAUCACAGCAAGUAUUCCCCAGUGAUGCUCCUGUUGAAUGUGUGAAUAAAUAAAGUGCUACUUCUUAUGUUGCUGCAAAAAUCCCAAUGAGAAAUGUGUGUGCAUUGAGACUAGAUGCAGGUAUAUCUGAACAGAGAGAAAGACUGGUCCUCGGUGAGAAUUGGGACCAGGAGGCAAGACUGACAGCAUUCCCAGGGGACUGGAGGGAGAGAUGCAUCCGAUUUCGGUUGAUUUCAUACAGUGGCAAUGAGUGUGCUCGCAAAUGCCAGGAAGGCUUGGCCAGUGGCACCCUGUGUACACCAUUUCAUGAACUACUGUGGUGAUUAAACCGCAGGGUGCUCCAGAGAGGCUUUCUAGCUUUUUUCCCUGGCACAUCCCCUCGCUUGAGUAAUGCCCGGCUUUAACUUUAGGAAGGCAGAAGAUGGCAGUCGGGCUGUCUGUCAGUGUCAUCAUGUGUCAUCAUCUUUGGGCUGCCAGUGGGACAGCUGGGGAAGAGCAGGAUCAAGUUGACUGGCAGAGGGUUUUACAUCUAAUGAGUUUGUGUGUAGUAAUAGUGUAAUAAAUAAGGCUCUGGAG
rnacentral:lncRNA from 1 species